GAUGAUUCUCAGACAUCAUCACACGACCAUCCUGUACCAAGGGGUUUCAUUUCUGUUGGUGGAUCUUACAUGGCUCACUAAUCACUAAGGAGACGUCAUAAUUGGAUUCCUAUUUUUCUCAAUCCUCGCACAAUUCCUAGGUGGCAUUCACUGUAAGGGAGCUUCCUCGUCUCCCUCACACUCUGCCCUGAGAUGUGGUUUUCUUGUUGACUAGAUUUGGAUUUCUACUGAGGAUCGUGGGGAGAGCAGAUACACAGGUGUCAACCCCUGGGGUUCACUGUGACACUCCUAAACCUGCGUAGUCUCUUCAUGGUGUUUGAAUCCUUGACUAACCUGAAUUGUAUAAACUUCAAGCAAUAAGAAGGAAUGGCAGCUUGAGCUCACAGUUGGUGUCCUAUAUUUAGUGGUCUUCAUUCUCCUGAGAGGACAGAAUGGUCCAGUGGUUGGACUCACCUUGACACUUGGACAUCUGUCUCUUCCAGGGAUCCUGUGAUCCCACAUAGUUGUGAAACCUGUGGUGUUCCUACCUAAAGGGCCUUCAACUGCUUUGCUUCACGGACAUGGUCAGAAGUAACUACUAGUCUCCAGGUCCAGGCCUGAAGAUACUGGCAGCUUCUGCUUAUCUCUCAGAUGACUUCCUCUGUGGGAAAGUUACACCUUCCUGAGGAAAUGAUUAAGGCAUUGGAGAGAUUGAGAAAGUCAUUUGAGGUCACAGCCUGCACAAGAGGGAACAUAUCACCCAGGGGUAGAGGAAGUACACGAAGACAUUCAGCCGACACACCAAUCUGAGAGAAGCAAGGGUUUGGAUAUCCAUUGGAUCGCUUCUUCCAAGGUGUCAAUGGAGGCCAAAAGAGAACAUUGGAUCCCUUGGAGCUGGAAUUACAGGUGGCUGUGAACUUUGAACUCGACUGGGGUCCUUUGGAAGAACAGUGCAUGCUCCCAACUACUGAACCAUCUUUUUAGCGCUGAGACCAGGACUUUCUUGAAAGCAACUUCUGCUGGGCAUCAGGCCUCUCUGUCAGUCGAGUGCUGCACCUGUGUGCUUGCCUAUCACCGCCCGUGUCAUUAGGGAGACUGCUUAGCUCAGCUGCAGAAGAAUCCUAGUCCUUAGCACCUUUGGUGUGAAGUCCUGCUGGGCCAAGUGGGUUUCCAAGGAGCUGUUUCUAGCCAAGUCUCCAUAUGCCUGGUGGGUAGGUGUAGAAACCCGAGGAAGGCUUGGCAGGGGAUCUGCAGUGGGAACUGUUACAACCCAAACAAUCACCGUGUACACAGUGCUUCACAUUGUCUCUUGCAUUUACCUGGAAACAGUCACUGGAAACUACAAGACUGUGCAACCCCUAGAAAUGGCUAUGCUACCGAAAAUGCCCGGGACUUGCUGGACAGCUUGCUAUAGUGUCUUCUAGGCAUCUGAAAAGCCACUGAGUAUUUAAAGUGUCACCUCAAGGGAAACAUACCCAGCCAGUCUUUCCACUAGUGAACUGAAACAAAGAUUUUUGGUCAUCUGACUGACCUCCUAGUGCCUUGUUCUGAACUCCACAACUCGGUUUCUUUCUAACGAGUUUUCAGUUCAAGGUCAGAUGCAGUUUGGAAGGAAGCAUUCCUCACAAGCCAGGUGUAAGGACACGUGCUUUGUGAGAGCCUCAGCCUUUGGACUCCAUUCUGGACUUUGACCGCUGUGUGGAGUGCUAGAGAAAUGUGGCCAGGCUGACUCACUACACAGGCUCCCAGACAGUGAGUGGGCAGAACUCGCCUGGAUAGAACCUGGCAAGCUUGGACUUGACCACUGACUGACUCUGCAGUAGCAGAGAAGGCAGCGACAGUAACCACAGGAGCCCCCACCCUAGAUCUUCAGGGGCAGCAUCUCUCUACUUUCUUCUGCUGUGGGUCACCUCUGAUGCCUGCCAAGCUUUCUCACUAUCCUCAAGAGCCCAGACUGUUGGGCCUCAUCCACAGUAGAUGCUGGAAUCAUUGAUGCCCAGGGUGGCUGUGUCAGUUUUUCCCUGGUUCUGUAAUGUCUAUCCCUGGUCACUCUGGGCAGCCAGGUGGGCAAUGAGUGGCCAAGUGUAGGAGAGAGGACACAGGAGGCCAAAAAAGAAAUGGGUGCAUGAACCUGGGUCUGAGGGCUUAGCUGAUGAACACUGAACUUCUGGGAUUUAAGCAUUCCAGACUGUGUUGCUACAGGAUCUUUAGCUCCUUUGAGAAAAUAAAAACAUUCCUACUGUGGACUUCUUAGAACCCAG
rnacentral:lncRNA from 1 species